rnacentral:lncRNA from 1 species
GAACAAUCCUUUCAUAAAUAAUGGUUUCUCCAUUAAAUGCCUUGAGCACCAUUUUUUGUGAUGCACAGCAGACAGCUUGCAUAACUUUAUUAAUUUGAGAUGUAUUAAAUUUACUGUGGAUCCUGAAUUGAAAAAGGCAUUCCAAUUUAUCUGAUUGACUUUAAUCAGAAAGACCCACCAAUUUCCCAACGAACAAUGUUCUGGUUUUGUUGUUGGGCCUGGAAUGUCCUCCACUCAUUUUUCACUCGUUUUGAUCUGGAUAUAUCUUCCAUUGUAAUUUGUAUUUCCUUGCAACUGGCUGAGCAUUAAUUUCAUUGAUUCUGUCUUCUGAUUUUUUUGUUUCAGCCCUUUGAAUGUAGUUUGUUUUGAUCUAUUUCUCCAUGUGGUUUCAGGAGUAAUCUUUCCAUUGCUUGUCACAACUGUUCUUUAGUUUCAAUGUUUUAACAGAGAAGAUUCCCUUGCAUGUCAUUAGGUAGUCACCCACAUUACCAUAGUGAUAAAGGAAUGUCUUCCUAUGUUCAGAUAUGCCAAAGUUAUAUGAUGUUAGUUUUCAUAAUAAUAAAAUCCAUAAGAGUGCCUCCACAGUAUUCUCAAUUAUCAACUAUGACAGCUUGAUGCAGUUUUAUCUAAAAGAACUACUAAACGAAGUUUUCCAUUUAUCCCAAUUAUCGGUUAACUUGUCCAAUAUUCUUGAAUUGUACCAUUUAACAGCAACUCUCUCAAGGUGUUGCUGUUAAAUGGUACAAUUCAAAUUCAACCCAUAAAUUCAAAAUCUUGUCUUGAUUGGAUUUCCAUUGAUCUAGAUUGCAGGCUUGUUCAAAAAUUGUCAUCUAGCUUCUGGGAUCCUCUCUUUUUCCCUCAAUUUUUAAAAUAUGAACGGGACCAGUUUUUAAAUAAUAUCAUUUGUUCCAUAGUCUGAUGUAAUGUUUCUAUAAUAUUAAUAAGGAUUUCUUCCUGUCGUUUGAAUUGAUUCUGUUGCACUUGCAGUAUCAAAUGUAAAGUCUCAUUCAAAUUAGUAUCUGAACCCCUUUCUGCUUUCACUAAUUUGCAAUUGUACAGAAACUUUAUUGAUAUAAGACUCAUCUUCUUCCUCAGUUAAACUGACAGCUACUGUCCUGAAUUGCUGUCUUCACAGGUAUGGAGAAUGUAAUGAUAUCAUGAUUUUCAAUAUUUCAAAAUUGUUUAUUCACUUCCAUCCAUUUGUCACCUCCCUCCAAUAAAUAUCUGGACAUUAAUGUCUC